AAAAUUUUUGGUGUUCAAUACUUUCUACUUUAAUUUUCUGUAAUUGUGUUGCAAUUUUUUUUUCAAAUAUAUUCUCUUCACAAAAUUAUUUCUCUAUUCAGGCUGGAAGCAAAAAAACAGGAUUUGCUUAUAAAUCCUUGAGAGAGGAAGAUACAACCAUCCCUGAACUUAGAAGAGUUAACCAGACACACAAAACAAAUUAAAAAAUAGUGAGCUCCUAGCACCUGGAGACCUGCCAGGGGCAAUUAAAGGUCAGUCGCAGCUGUGACUGGUUAUUAAAAAAGGGCUUUUGUAGGAAGUGAAGUUUUGAGUCCCCAUAGGAGGUCUUAGUGUUGUGGAGAGAGUGGUUGGUUAGUUAGUUAUAUUAUUUUUGUUUUUGAUGUUAGAGAAGGUUAUAGGGACAGUGGUAAUGUUUGUGCUAGUGAUAAGGUCAUAUAAAGAGAUGUUUCUGAACAGGUGCUCUUCCUAGAUGUAGUUCAGAGAAACUGCAAGGCUUAUUAUGGGAGGAUUAAUCUUGAUUGUGAAGGUGUCUCUGAGUCUGAACUCAGGCUUGGAUUCUAGUUCUAGAUGCUAGGAAAAUUCAAGUUCUUGAGGACUCUGAGGAGAGUGAAAUGAAGUUACUGAACUCUGUACCCAAGGUUGAAGAGCUGGUGUGAAACUUCACACUUCCUGCAUGCAAAAAAAAUGUUGCAUCAGAAGUCAGUGAUGGUUCCACAGACAACAAGGGAAGAAAAUAGUUGUUAAUGAGUGGCUGCUAAGGGAAGAGUUUGGAUUUGCAAUGUCCAGCUAUCAUGACAGAUAUGUUACCAUUGACUCUGGAUUUUGCCACCCUGAAAUCACCUCAAGCCAAGAGAGGGAACCUGAAAAAGACCACCUAUAGGAACACUUGCACCCUGCCCCUGACCUGGACAUCUUCAACUAUGAAGAAGCUAUUCCUGGCUGCUUCUUGUUUUAGGUAAAUAGACAAGGCUUCUUUCAGCCCCAUUGACUUUACGCUUUAGUCACUACAUCAUGUGGAAUGCUCAAGAUUAGUUAUUCUCUGAUUCCCUGUUGGCACAUGGUAUGAAUUUUUAUAUUUUCUGUAGAUAUCUAACUGCUACUUGGAAGAUUGUUGUAGCACACUGGAAAAAUACUACUUUAUCAGUUACACAACUAAAGCAACUAAAGACAAGUAAGGCAACUAAAAGCAAGUAAUUCAGGCCACUGUAACUUACCAUUUCUGUAUGAAGCUCUCAAAAUAUUUGUUAAAUCUUGACUUAUAAGCAAGGCAAAACAGUUCAUCUAAAUAUGAAAAGAUGAAGCUAAUUCCCAAAUUAGCGUGGGAAAAAGAGGGGAGAAGGAGUAAAGGAAUGGAAGAACAACAGAAUAGUCUCUAAAUACCAGUCUUAAAUCUGCUUUUGGUUUUGUUCAUUUUCACAGAAACCGGGAGAGGUGGGGAAAAAAAUCCCCUUCUGAAAGGUCCCUAGAAAGAUUUGAGAUGGAAGUCAUGGGAAACAGGAAACUCAGAAAUGUUACAGUAUUUUAACAUUAGUCUAUGAAUAUCAAAUUGAAAGUAUUUAUAAUCUACUUAGUUGUUCAUGAGAAAUGCAGUAACUUCUGCACUAUCAAGUGUGAGGAACACUUUCCAUUGUCUUUGAAGCAUGAUAGAAAAAUUGUAGUCUGCUCUUACUUCAGCCACAGUGGUUACAUGUGGGUUUAAAUUUAAUCCAUGAGAUAACUAUUCAGUUUACCUGUGUCUCAGGUGUUGUUCCUUUUUUUUUGGAGGAGGGGAAGGAUGAGGUGGUGUUUUUUUUUCUUUAAAAAUAAGUACUUAGUUUGUAGCAUGAUGGCUGAAAACCUGGAGCCAUUCAAAUUAGUAACAAGACCUUUGUCAGUAUUAUGGGGUCAUGAUUUUAUUCAAUAAUUAGUUCUUCAUCUUUAGUUAUACUGACUGCAGAUGUAUGAGAAGUGGAACUUCAGAAAAAAAGAUAGACAAAUUAAACUCAGGAGAGCCUAUCUUUCCACAUUAUAUCUGGUUUGUUUUUCCCCUACUUCUGUCUGAAGAUUCAUCUUGCUAGAUGACCUGGACUUCAAUCUACACUCUGUAUCAUGAUGUGUAUCUAGAUAUUGUGUAACUCAGCAAAGAUUUUUAGUGAUUAUCACCUCAGAAAUGUAAACUGGGAAAGAAACAGCCUGAAAACACUUUUUUCUCCUUUGCGGAAAGGGUGGUAUGUCUUGGCUGACUCUAUUCUUGAUCAGAUAGAGCUGUAGUCUGUAAAGUGUAUGUCUCAAACUCAUUUGAGUUAGCUUUUCUCACCUGAAGAAUUAGAUCAGACAAAAAAAAUAAUAAUUAAAAAAAAAUGGAAGAACCUUCUGGAGGUAAUCUAGUUGUCUAGUUGAACAUGCUUGCUUGAAUAGGAUUCUUUAUCCAGCAGGCUUGAAAACUUCAAGGAUGGGAACUAUGCAGUGUCCUUGGAUAACCUGCUCCAGUGUUCCACCAGACACAUCUUUUGGAGGCAGCCUUUUUUCUAAAUUCCACUUUGAACCUCCCAAACCUUGAUUUGUGGCUGUGACAGAUCCCUCUUACUAUAUUCAGUGCCUCUUGCCUGAAAAAAAUCUUAGUCUAGGCUCAUCAGCCUUGAUGAAAGGAAAACAGGAAAUCUAGGUUCUGAUGCCUAUCUAAAUUGUAUCCUUUGAUCUGGAGUCUCCACUACUAAAAGUUUUAAUUUCUAGACUUGUAAAUGUUCUGAAAUAAGUUUUUGUCUAACACUGGUUUUUAAAAAAUACUUCUAUAUAUGAAAUUGUUUUUUUCUGUACCUGGCAGUUUUCAGCUGUUCUGGUUUAUGUUCUAAUUUAGAAAUAGCUGCAAAAAAAUAGAAGUAAACAUGAGAUUUAGCAUUCCCUGUUGUGUUUUUCCUUUCCUACUUUAUUCACCAGAAUGUACUAUGUAGAUUGCGGUAGUAAGGAUGAUUUCCUGGAAGCUACUUUUGGAACAUUUUGAAGGUGAUCCUCCUUAGUGCCAAGAGAAGCAAAGUGGUUCUGUGUUGAAAUGUUGAGUGAUUAUAAUAAAAGAAAAUAAAUCCAGUGUAACUAAAUGUCA
rnacentral:lncRNA from 1 species